AGCGAGCUUAUGUCAGCUCAAAUUCGGCUUGAAAUUACUUUCGAGCCUAAAUCUAGGCUCAAGCUCGGCUUGAAAUUAAUUCGAGCCGAGCUCGAGCGAGCCUAAUUUCGAGUCGAGCCGAGCUCGAGCUCUAAACGAGCUGAUUGAAAUUGUCAACAUUAUAUAAUUAAUAGUUUAAUUUUUAUAGAACAUUGCCUAUAAUUUGAUGCAAUAUGUUCAAUAGUUCAAAAUACAAAAUAAUUGUAAGAAAUGUGAGCUGGGGUGACUGCCUGACUAGAUGAGGAUCAGAGAGAGAGAGAGAGGGAAAAAAAUUGGGGAUUUGAAAAUUUGAAUGUUAUUAUGUUUUAGGGUUAUGUGCAAUAGUAAAAGUCUGAAAGAGAGAGUGUGUUAUGUAAAUGUAGAGUUGGGCUCAAUUGCACGGUUGUACUUGUUGGAUUUAUUUUAUGGGCCAACAAUAAUGGCCCAAAUUAAAUUAAAGCCUAUAUAUAAUUAAAAUACAUUAUAUAUAUAUAUAUAUA
rnacentral:lncRNA from 1 species